rnacentral:rRNA from 1 species
CCUACGGGAGGCUGCAGUGGGGAAUAUUGGGCAAUGGAGGAAACUCUGACCCAGCAACGCCGCGUGAAUGAUGAAGGUCUUCGGAUUGUAAAGUUCUUUUCUAAGGGAAGAAGAAAGGGACGAUACCUGAGGAAUAAGCCUCGGCUAACUACGUGCCAGCAGCCGCGGUAAUACGUAGGAGGCAAGCGUUAUCCGGAAUGACUGGGCGUAAAGGGUGCGGAGGGGGUUUGACAAGUUGGUAGCGUAACUCCGGGGCUCAACCUCGGCACUCCUACCAAAACUGUCGGACUUGAGUGCAGGAGUGGCAACUGGCAUUCCUAGUGUAGCGGUGUAAUGCGUAGAUAUUAGGCGGAACACCAGUGGCGACGGCGAUUUGCUGGACUGUACCUGACACUGAGGCACGAAAGCGUGGGGAGCAAACAGGAUUAGAUACCCGAGUAGUC